UGUAAUUGGUGGUGACAGCAACGGAGC
rnacentral:piRNA from 1 species